UUCGGUCCUUUCUACGGCAACUUCUUCUUUUCCCCUUCGUCGAUUUUGGUGAUGAGAAGCUUUCACGGUAUGCAUCGCUCGCUUGAACUCAUAGUUGAAGUCACUGGAUUUGGGUUAGGGUUUUUGAAAGCCAAUUUUGGGGUUAUGGGUUCGGAUUUCUUCAUAGAUGGUGAUUUCAAAAGCUUCAAAAUCUGACGUUAGGGUUUAAUUUUCAGAAGUCUUGGAGAAUUGGGCCAUAACUCAGGGCUAUCUCAGUACUAAAAAGAGUUGUGGAUGGCGUUCAAGUAAUCCAUGGGAGAGACCAAAUGAAGGCUAGUCGAGCAAAUGUCUCAGAUCAGUACCCGCGAGGUGGCAACAAUCAUGGGGAGAAAAACACGACAUCUAAAUCAGAUUUACAUUCUUAAAGUUAUUGGCAUCAAUACUUGGUGGCUACCGCAAUUUCAUAGAAAAUACAGCAACACAGGUCUUCAACUCUCAGGUUUAGCUUCGAGCAAGGAUGCUCAUAUGUUCUGCUACUAGCAAGGGUGCUGUUGGUGUUAAUGAGAAGGAAUACAAGUCAAACCCCAACAUUGUUUCUAGUGUUAGUUGUACCACUAACUACUUUGCUCCUUUGGUAAAGGUUCCCUUUCGUGCCUUGUUCUUCAUUUUAACAUUUGAACCUGUAAGUGAAAUUUUAAUAAUUCCUCAAUUUGAUGCUACUUUACGGGUUAUUCAUGACAAAUUCAAAACUAUUUGAGGGUCUUAUGACCACAGUCCACUCCAUAACAGUUCAGAAGUACUACUCCUAUGUUAACUUUUAAUACAACUUCUGUUGUUUUGUACCUAAAUUGUUGCCAUAUUUAUAAUUCAUCACUCAGAGAAAACUGUUGAUGGACCAUCAUUCGAGAAUUGGAGGGGUGGAAGAGCUACUUCAUUCAACAUUAUCCCUAGUAAUACUAAAGCUGUUAAGGCUGUCCGAAAGGUAAUACCAAUGGAAUGUUAACUGGGAUAUCUUUCCAAGUUCCAACUGUUGAUAUUCUUGUAGUUGAUCUCACCGUGAGGUUGGAGAAAGAACAAAUGAUAUCAAGGCCGAUAUCAAGUAAGAUUGUGUACUUUACUCCUUUGACCAUCCCUCUUGCCUGAAAAAAUAUCAAUAACUUGUGUAUUUUAUUCUAUCCUGGCAUGAAUACACUACAAGCCUCCCUCUGCGGAUCUAAUUUAUGCAAACAAAGGAGUAAUAGUGAUGGGAAAAAUAGUAAUAGAGGACUUAUGGCCCUGUGAGCUGCUCAUUUAUAUUUCUACUUUGACAAUUUAUUAGCGAGGAGUCUGAAGGAAUCUUGAAUCGAAUUCUAGGUUGCACUGAAAUUCCCUUUAUUGUAUUGACCCAUCUUGUACCACACUAGAGAGUGGACGUGUUAAUUUGAUUUAUUUGUAAUUAAUGAAAGUGAUAUGCAAAAUAGUUAACUAGUGUCCAAGUAGCUAAUAGGGAAAAGUAUCUAUAAUUAAUCAUCAUACUUUUGUUUCUUGCAAGUACAACUUCAUCCGAAUUGCAUAAAAGUUUUAAAUAGGGACUCGUAGAAAGGUCAAGUCUAGGUUUACAUGUUCAACUGAUCUUACAUGUAAGUCAUUUUUUUUUUACAAUAUCUAUGGCCAUAUAAAAUGGAAGAGUGGAAUACAUAAGUGGAACUCCUAUUCACAAACUUUGAAUUUGUAAAUAAAGCUAUAUUCUAUGAAUGUGCACCCUUCUGGUAUGUUCCUAUUUUAGCAGGUCUUUUUUCUGUUAAAUAUGUGGGUUGUGCUUGUGCAUUUUUCAUAUUUAGUAAAGCUUUUGAGAACAAUCGCAUUUGUAGUGACCUGAAAGUAUAUAAGCAGUUAUUUUCAAGUUUUAUUCAUCAUUUUUUACAUGACUAGAGGUCAUGUGACUGUAGAUUGAGAUAAUUUUAUUUGUCUUGUAAAAUGUGUAACUUUCCUGUUCUAAUAAUCUUAAGUGUGAAAUAACCAGGCAAAAACCAAGUCACAAAUGUAGUUGUAUUUGUCGAGAAGUAGUUUUAAGUCCCUUUACAACAUUAGUAUCUGGAAAAAUAAAGGUCUAAUUCUAGGAAAAAUUGGGAUGAAAAUGAUUAGUACUUAAUAGUAUUUUGUUAAUAGAUUUGCUUUAGAUGCAUAAUGCUUAACGUAGAGCAAUCAUGAUGAUAAAUUCGCCCAUCUAUUUUUGCUGGCGUGGUCCUUUGGUCAGUCUGUUAAACUGCUUAGUUCUUUUUUUGUUUUUUUGAUAAUCAAUACUGCUUAGUUCUUUUUAGUUCUUUUUUACCAACUGGUAAAACAACCUGAAUCUCAUGAUGAUACAGCUGAUAUGUGUUAAAUUUGACAAUAUCAUCAUCAUCAGCCUAUGGACUCUCACUUUUGAAGAGAUUUAUGCUAACUGUCUGCCCCAAACUCGAGCAUUGCCAUGUGUUUAUAUUGAGUGGCCUUGUGUUUCUUAUUUUCUUUUGGUUGUAUGUCGGUAAAGUACCUUAUCUAAAAACUUUCCCUUCUAUGCAAUUCGAAUGAAGCUGAAUGAAGUAGACAAACAAGCACAUGACAUUCUAGCCAAAACCCCUCAAGAGACACGAGCAACUGUCGUCAUUCCCUCUUAGCACUUUGAGUCGAAGGUGAAAGCGAGACCCUAAUUGAAGCAGUUUUUGAAGCCCCAAUUUAUUCAAAAGAUAGAGGUCAAGAAUUGUGAGCAAUAGUGAUCACAACAAUAAUUACAUAUGAUCAGUUGUAUGUUGCAACUCUAAUGUAUUAUGAGACCAUGGAAGGAAAGAUGAAGAGAAGACUUUAUGAUCUUGGGUCUCAAGGGAAACGCUAUUAUGAGCUUGGUCCUACUUUCGAUCCUGAUGAACAUCACUCUCCAGCAGCACAUUAGUUAGCUUUGUCUUUCAAAUUAUAAUAUAUCAGUUGAAGAACAAUUAUGAACAUUGAUGCAUUAGGAUUGUAUUUUUGGAUCUACUUGUUAAUCUUUAGAUUACUAUUUAUAUGAAAUCAAGGUUCUUUUAAUGCUUA